CAAGAUGACCACAGUGAUUUUCAUCUCCUGGUAUUCUUACCCUUUUGUAUCCCUUCCUGAAGGCCUGAUAAUAUAUGACUUCUGAGGCUAGGUCAUAAAAGAUAUUGUGGCUCCCCCUUGCUCUCUUGGAUUACUUCCUCUGGGGGACCAGGAACCAUAUUGUCAGGACACCUGAGCAGCCCUAUGGAGAGAUCUACAUGGUGAAUAACUGAGGCCACAAGGUCAGGAAAUCGAGACCAUCUGGGCUAACACGGUGAAACCCCGUCUCUACUAAAAAUACAAAAAAUUAGCCAGGCAUGGUGGCGGGCACCUGUAGUCCCAGCUAUUCGGGAGGCUGAGGCAGGAGAAUGGCUGAAUCCGGGAGGCAGAGCUUGCAGUGAGCCAAGAUCGCGCCACUGCACUCCAGCCUGGGUGACAGAGCGGCUCACUGCAACCUCCACCUCCCUGGUUCAAGCGAUUCUCCUG
rnacentral:lncRNA from 1 species